CAUCAAGUCCUACUAUACAGGACCUGCUACCCCUAAAGCAUCCCGUCAACCAAGCCCUGCUUCUUCCAUCAAGUCCUACCAUUCAGGGCCUGCUACCCCUAAAGCAUCCCGUCAACCAAGCCCUGCUUCUCCCAUCAAGUCCUAUCAUCCAGGACCUGCUACCCCUAAAGCAUCCGGUCAACCAAGCCCUGCUUCUUCCAUCAAGUCCUACUAUACAGGACCUGCUACCCCUAAAGCAUCCCGUCAACCAAGCCCUGCUUCUUCCAUCAAGUCCUACUAUACAGGACCUGCUACCCCUAAAGCAUCCCAUCAACCAAGCCCUGCUUCUUCCAUCAAGUCCUACCAUUCAGGGCCUGCUACCCCUAAAGCAUCCCGUCAACCAAGCCCUGCUUCUCCCAUCAAGUCCUAUCAUCCAGGACCUGCUACCCCUAAAGCAUCCCGUCAACCAAGCCCUGCUUCUUCCAUCAAGUCCUACUAUACAGGACCUGCUACCCCUAAAGCAUCCCGUCAACCAAGCCCUGCUUCUUCCAUCAAGUCCUACCAUUCAGGGCCUGCUACCCCUAAAGCAUCCCGUCAACCAAGCCCUGCUGUUCCCAUCAAGUCCUGUAAAACCAGCCGUGCCUCUACUGAGUCAUACUGGCAGCCCAAUCCUGCCUCUCCCGGUGAGUCCUUCCAGCACAGCCCUGGGACUCCAAAUGCUGCCUUCACUGCUGCCCCAGCCCCUGUCAGCAGUAGGAGGUGGGGCUGGAAAACUGUCAAGAGAACCAUGAGAGACUGCCUGCAGGCCCUGUGCUGCUGCCCCCUAUCGACGUGCAAGUGUCACAAACACAAGGUGGUCGCAGUUGCAGAUCCAUGAUCCCUCCUAUGGACGUGGUCAUCCUGACAGCGAGGUCAGCCACACAAGUGGAAGCCACACAGAUGCAAGCCAUCCAACAGAUUCCAGUGCCUGUGACUAAAAACCAAGUGCAAAAAUUUCUAGGAGCCAUAGGACUGAUGCAGAGUUUGGGACCCUGGCAGAGGCCUGUUGCCUAUCUUUCCAAGAGACUUGAUUAUGUGGCAGCCAGAUGGCCACCUUGUCUGUGGGUGUUUUCCUCGGUAGUCAUCCUGAUAGAGGAGACACAAAAACUGACUUGUGGACCAAAAUUCUUAAUUGUUUCCUCCUAUUCGCUGGAGACUCUCAUCAAGCCUCCACCGGACCAAUGGCUGCCCAACUCCCAAGUCAUGCAUUAUCAGGCAUUACUUCUAGAUCUGACUACCAUCAGUUUCAAGGGACAGCGGCUUCAAACCCUGCUACUCUGCUGCCUGAUGAUGCCCCUCCUUGCCCCUCCACAUCUGUAUUGGGGACCAGACUUGACAGAUGAGCCACUAUUCAGAGUUCCUUUGUAUUUCUCCGAUGGAAGCAGUUAAAUUUAUCCAGGUAAGUGGGUCGUGGGAGCAGCCAUUACUACAGACUCGCAGAUUCUAUGGGAACCAAGCCUGGAGCCAAAAACAUUGGCCCAACAGGCUGAACUCAUUGCCCUCAGUGAGACCUCAAGUUGUCAGUAUGCAUUUGUUACUGCCCAUGUUCAUGGGACCAUUUAUAAAGAAUGGUGCUUAUUGUCUUCUGGGGCCAAAAGAUUAAAAAUGUUUCCCAAAUUUUGGACUUGUUGGCUGCCAUCUGGAUGCCAGGAAGAGUGGCUAUUAUCCGCUGUAGAGCCCAUUGAGCAGGAGAUGGCCUUGUUAUAUGAGGAAAUAAUUUGGCAGAUGCCACCACCCACAAGGCAGCUGUAGAAUCAGUGGGGAUUUGAGAUAGCCCUGACAUUACUGCAUUCCCACCUACUUUGUCAGAGCCUAUUUGCACUUGAAAAGACUUGCAUUUGGGGACUAAUAUCAAAGCUUGCCCAGCCUGUGAGCCUCAGAUGCCCUCAGUGCCAUUUGGUGAACCCAAAGCAGCCACUCACUAAGUGGGACUAUGCCUAGAGAACACUGGAAGGUAGACUUUACAGAAAUGGGGAAGCCUGGACUUCAAUGAUAUGAGUAUUUACUUGUAAUGGUUGAUAGUUUCACUGGAUGGAUAAAAGCUUCUUCUACAAAAUCUGAGUUAGCUGUGAUAGUCAAAAAGCUCUUAUGUGAGGUUGUCCCACAAUUUGGCCUCCCCUUAUCCAUCGGGUCUGAGAAUGGCCUGGUUUUUAUGGCCUAGAUAACUCAAAAACUAACCAAAGCCUUGCAGAUCAAUUGGAAACUCCAUUGUGCUUACUGCCUUCAAAGUUCAAGACAAGUAGAAAAGAUAAACCAGACAUUAAAGAUGGUAAUUACUAAUGGCCUUAGAAACUGGUGAG
rnacentral:lncRNA from 1 species